rnacentral:rRNA from 36 species
GGAAACGCCCGGUCCCAUUCCGAACCCGGAAGCUAAGCCCUCCAGCGCCGAUGGUACUGCACUCGACAGGGUGUGGGAGAGUAGGACACCGCCGAAC